rnacentral:rRNA from 1 species
AUUGAACGCUGGCGGCAGGCCUAACACAUGCAAGUCGAGCGGAGCGGCGGACGGGUGAGUAAUGCCUAGGAAUCUGCCUGGUAGUGGGGGAUAACGUCCGGAAACGGGCGCUAAUACCGCCUACUAUCCAUUGAACCUAGGUGGGAUUAGGUAGUUGGUGGGUUAAAGGCCUACCAAGCCGACGAUCCGUAACUGGUCUGAGAGGAUGAUCAGUCACACUGGAACUGAGACACGGUCCAGACUCCUACGGGAGGCAGCAGUGGGGAAUAUUGGACAAUGGGCGAAAGCCUGAUGCAGCCAUGCCGCGUGUGUGAAGAAGGUCUUCGGAUUGUAAAGCACUUUAAGUUGGGAGGCGUUACCAACAGAAGAAGCACCGGCUAACUUCGUGCCAGCCGCCGCGGUAAUAC